rnacentral:rRNA from 1 species
CUGGCGGCAGGCUUAACACAUGCAAGUCGAACGAAGUUAGGAAGCUUGCUUCUGAUACUUAGUGGCGGACGGGUGAGUAAUGCUUAGGAAUCUGCCUAGUAGUGGGGGAUAACUUGGGGAAACUCAAGCUAAUACCGCAUACGACCUACGGGUGAAAGGGGGCUUUUAGCUCUCGCUAUUAGAUGAGCCUAAGUCGGAUUAGCUAGUUGGUGGGGUAAAGGCCUACCAAGGCGACGAUCUGUAGCUGGUCUGAGAGGAUGAUCAGCCACACUGGGACUGAGACACGGCCCAGACUCCUACGGGAGGCAGCAGUGGGGAAUAUUGGACAAUGGGCGAAAGCCUGAUCCAGCCAUGCCGCGUGUGUGAAGAAGGCCUUUUGGUUGUAAAGCACUUUAAGUGGGGAGGAAAAGCUUAUGGUUAAUACCCAUAAGCCCUGACGUUACCCACAGAAUAAGCACCGGCUAACUCUGUGCCAGCAGCCGCGGUAAUACAGAGGGUGCAAGCGUUAAUCGGAAUUACUGGGCGUAAAGCGCGCGUAGGUGGUUACUUAAGUCAGAUGUGAAAGCCCCGGGCUUAACCUGGGAACUGCAUCUGAUACUGGGUGACUAGAGUAGGUGAGAGGGGAGUAGAAUUCCAGGUGUAGCGGUGAAAUGCGUAGAGAUCUGG